rnacentral:snRNA from 1 species
GCACUCUGGUCUCCCUUCAAAACGCAAAAAUCUUUCGCCUUUUACUAAAGAUUUCCGUGGAGGGGGACACAUUAUGAGUCUAACGACCAAUUUUUUGUGAGCCCUGCGAAAGCGGGGCC